rnacentral:rRNA from 1 species
AACGAACGCUGGCGGCAUGCCUAACACAUGCGAGUCGAACGAGACCUUCGGGUCUAGUGGCGCACGGGUGCGUAACGCGUGGGAACCUGCCCUUAGGUUCGGAAUAACUCCCCGAAAGGGGUGCUAAUACCGGAUAAUGUCUUCGGACCAAAGAUUUAUCGCCUUUGGAUGGGCCCGCGUUGGAUUAGCUAGUUGGUAGGGUAAAAGCCUACCAAGGCGACGAUCCAUAGCUGGUCUGAGAGGAUGAUCAGCCACACUGGGACUGAGACACGGCCCAGACUCCUACGGGAGGCAGCAGUGGGGAAUAUGGGACAAUGGGCGAAAGCCUGAUCCAGCAAUGCCGCGUGAGUGAUGAAGGCCUUAGGGUUGUAAAGCUCUUUUACCCGGGAUGAUAAUGACAGUACCGGGAGAAUAAGCUCCGGCUAACUCCGU